CCAGGGGUCAUCGCCAUGGACUCAGUGGUCAUUACCAUGGGCUAUGAAGGCCUGGGCUCUCCCCAGCUCUGCCAUUUAUUGGCUGGUCAACAUUGAAAAAGAAACAUCUGUGCUUCCAUCUCACCAUCUGCGAAAUGGGGUAAUAACCCCCACCCCUACCACACCAGAUACACCCAUAUAGCCCCCUCCCAGAUCAAAAGACAAAACAUUUCCAUCUCCUCAGGAAAUUCUCAUUCCAGUCAAUAUCUCCCCUUCUCCGCCUGUGACAACCACUGAUCGCCUUGCUGUCACAGUCAAUCCGUGAAAGGACCUGCUCCUGAACAUGCAAUCGAGCCGUGCAGGAGGUCAUCUUCUGUGCCUGGUUUGGAGAUUUCUGCAACAUGGUUGCAUCCCUCCAUGAGGCUUUCUUGCUGCUGAGUGGGAUUCCAAUGUCCCAGUGUCCACAUAGACUCCAGCUGGUUGACCCAUUCACUACGAUGGACACUGGGUUAUUUCCAUGGUGGGGUAACUAUUGAUAAAGCCACUGCAGAUGUGUUUACACAACUCCCUUGCCUUCAUUUAUCUUGAGUAUACAUCUAGAGUGGGAAGGGCUGGAUGGAUUUUCCAGCAUCCUGGCCUCAUUUUAGAUUCCCGACCAGCACUGCAG
rnacentral:lncRNA from 1 species